UACGAAGGGGGCUAGCGUUGUUCGGAAUUACUGGGCGUAAAGCGAACGUAGGCGGUGUUCCAUGUCAGAGGUGAAAGCCUGGGGCUCAACUCCAGAAUUGCCUUUGAAACGGGAACGCUUGAGUCCGAGAGAGGAUGGCGGAAUUCCUAGUGUAGAGGUGAAAUUCGUAGAUAUUAGGAAGAACACCAGUGGCGAAGGCGGCCAUCUGGCUCGGUACUGACGCUCAGGUUCGAAAGCGUGGGAGCAAACAGG
rnacentral:rRNA from 1 species